UAAUUAUUUGACAAAACUAGACAAGAGCAGCACCUGUCAAAUCAAGACAGGAGAGGAAAAAGGCGACGAGACUGAGUUGAGUUAUCUAGAUACAAGGGCACUUUGGGGAGGAAUUAUUACAAGUACAAACAACAUUUAUUCGGAGCCCCACUGUUUAAAUUCCGGAUCUUCCCUUCCAUUCGGCGCGAUUACCAACAUUGUCCCCGCUUAUACAUACAUUCCCUCCUAUCUAUUUUAUCCUCUAUCAGAAACACACAGAGAGAUAGAGAGAUUCAGAGAGAGAGGGAGAGAAUGGAUGAAGAAAUGGAAGAGACUGUAAUGUACACAUUCACAGCUAUUGAAAUCGACCUUGACUACGAGUUUGACGCUGCUCGAUUCUUUGAUUUUAGUCGUCAAGAGUCUGUAGAUGAGACUCUUCAAGCUGAGCUUUGGUUCCAAUCUCGACCAAGCUAUCCUCCUUCUCCUUUUGUUAAAAAGCCGGUGUUGAGGGAGAACGUUCUGCCAGAUAAUGUCACGGCCUCAUCAAAAUUUGAAGGUUUCGAGAACAUGGAUUUCACAGAAAGUGACUCUGAUUUGGGUGGUGACAUGGAAAUUUUAAGAAUGGAUAUGAGCCGCGAAGAAUGUGGAGGUGUUAAUAGAAAGACUUCCAUCGAGUUAAAUGGUUGUACACAGCUGAUUUCUGAUCAAUGCUCCAACAUACCUGCAGAUUUGAAGUUUUAUGACUGCAAUAUCGAAUCAGAGGAUCGAAGAAACAAAAUUGUCAAAAAGUCCCUUCCAAGAAUCUCAACCCUCAUGAAGCCAACAGCAAGCCAAUUAGCCAAACAAAAUCAAACCCAUAAAAUCAGCGAUUCCAGGUAUCUAAAGUUGGAGAACUAUAAAAGCAUUGUUCCAAAAAUUUCUCCAUUGGAGAGUCAACCUGCUAAACGACAAAAGCUCGAAGGAGGUCAACUCUGUAAGUUUGCUGAUACACAUCAACAAACUCAUUUAGUUCACAAGGAACCCAAAAAGGAUAUAAAACCUGACAAGAGUUUGGCACAUGCUAAGUUACGGCUUACUAUUCCUAAAGAGCCUGCCUUUGAAACAGCUCAAAGGGCACAGAGGAUGAGGUCAAAAGUUAGAGAUGAUGAACAACUCACCUCCACAGCUCCUAAAUUCAGAGCUCGUCCAUUAAAUAGAAAGAUGCUAGAGGCCCCAUCAAUGUUGCUUCCGAAACGUAGCAUUCCUCGGAAACCAGAGUUUCAAGAAUUUUAUUUGAAAACAUCAGAAAGGGCUAUGCAGCACAAUGUUCCAUCAUCCUCAGCUCAUUCUAGUAAACCUAAGGUUUUGCACCAUUCUGUUGCUGGAUCGAUUGCAGAUUGUAGCAACAAGGAUAUCAAAAGGUGGCACGUAAUCAACACUCCUAAGAAAGAGGGCUGUGAAUUAGUUCACAAAUUUAAAGCUCUACCACCGAACAAGAAGAUCUUCUCCAGUAAAGCAGACAUUAGGGUUUCUCGAAAUAACAAGAAAGACAGCACACUUCCAACGGAAUUUAAACUUCAUACAGAACGAGGGGCUCAACAUGAUCCACCUGUAGAGCUUUUUAGCAUGCUCACUCUGACAGCUGAAAUUCAACCCAGCACUGGACCACGCAUAAAUUUGCCCCGUCCUACCUGUACAUUAUCAAAGGGAACAAAAGAGAACAAAUUGGGCUUGUUCCAACGAGAAACCGAGGUGUGAAUGGUUCCUACUGUCAUAUUAAAAAACCAUCACAAGGAAAAGCUACAUGCCUCAAGGCGAAGCAGAUUUCAGCACAUACAGGAGUUACUAAAAUUGGUUUGCCAUCUAACAUGAGCAGGAGCUCAAGUGUACACUAAAAUCCUUUGUAGAAAUCCUUAAGCUCUGAACUGUGUCUCUUAGUCAGCAAUAUAUGACAAGUACAUAACAAAGAAGAUGACUGUUUGCCUGUAUAUAUCAACCAUUGGAGUAGCAUCUAUGCUUUCUAUGUACUUUUUAACUUCACAAACCGAAAAUCUGAAGAAAAUAGAAAAGUUCAGUCAGAAUUGUCAAUCAACUAAUUUUACCACAACUUGAGCUGAGCCUGUAUAUAAAAGCUCAAACAAAUGGCUGGUUAUUCUGGGCCCUUCAUUGAGCCUCCCCGGCAGCAGCUGCAAGUAAUUAGUCGACAACUGUAAUCUUUCUAUACUUGUAUCACUGCCGUUGAUAUAUGUGUGCUAAUGAUCAACUUCACAGCUUUUCUUAGAGUAUACAUUCUUUUACCGGUCCUGUAGCUGA